UACGUAGGGCGCAAGCGUUGUCCGGAAUUAUUGGGCGUAAAGAGCUCGUAGGCGGCCUGUUGCGUCUGCUGUGAAAUCCCGGGGCUUAACCCCGGGCCUGCAGUGGAUACUGGCAGGCUGGAGGGAGGCAGGGGAGAACGGAAUUCCCGGUGUAGCGGUGAAAUGCGCAGAUAUCGGGAGGAACACCGGUGGCGAAGGCGGUUCUCUGGGCCUGUGCUGACGCUGAGGAGCGAAAGUGUGGGGAGCGAACAGG
rnacentral:rRNA from 1 species